UACCAGCACCCCGAGUGGUCGGGACGUUAUUGGGCCUAAAGUAUCCGUAGCCGGUUCUACAAGUCUUCCGUUAAAUCCAGCUGCUUAACAGAUGGGCUGCGGAAGAUACUAUGGAGCUAGGAGGCGGGAGAGGCAAGCGGUACUCGAUGGGUAGGGGUAAAAUCCGUUGAUCCAUUGAAGACCACCAGUGGCGAAGGCGGCUUGCCAGAACGCGCUCGACGGUGAGGGAUGAAAGCUGGGGGAGCAAACCGG
rnacentral:rRNA from 1 species